rnacentral:rRNA from 1 species
AACCUCGGGAAACUGAGGCCAAUAGCGGAUAUAACUCUCAGGCUGGAGUGCCGAGAGUUAGAAACGUUCCGGCGCUGUAGGAUGUGGCUGCGGCCGAUUAGGUAGAUGGUGGGGUAACGGCCCACCAUGCCGAUAAUCGGUACAGGUUGUGAGAGCAAGAGCCUGGAGACGGUAUCUGAGACAAGAUACCGGGCCCUACGGGGCGCAGCAGGCGCGAAACCUUUACACUGCACGACAGUGCGAUAGGGGGACUCCGAGUGUGAGGGCAUAUAGCCCUCGCUUUUCUGUACCGUAAGGUGGUACAGGAACAAGGACUGGGCAA